ACGCAAGUCUUUUUAUCCACUUAUAAAAGAACUGACAUCGUUGGGGGUGACGCUUACAGUUCGACUCUUAAAAAGGAAAGGAUUUUACAUACAUAAGAUACAUAAGAGAUGGGCUCAAGGAAGCGGAGAAAAAAAUUGCAGAUGGCCCACAUUUUGUGGUUUUUUUCGUCCCCAGAAAAUAUGGCACCAAAGAGACGUCCACAGAACAUAACUUGGGAUUGCACAUGGCAGCACUGGUAGUCAGAUUAAGUGGAAAUGACAAAAGCGCUAUCUUCUACGAUCCGAGUCCGAAAUGUUUCGGCCAUGCAGUGCCAGCUAUUUUGGACGACUUAGGCAUAACACCAUUUACAUUUCAAUACGGAAGUGUAUCGGAGAGAGAGGACUGCGUGUAUCGUGUGAUGAGGCACAUCGUUCAUUUGGCGGAAGACGAAACUCAAUUUAGAGUGGAUUUAGAGUGUUCUUGUAAAUGAUUUUAAGUGUCCGCCAAAUUUGAACUCAAAAAUUUAAAUAUAAAAUGUUGGUG